rnacentral:rRNA from 1 species
CAUUUUUUAUUAUUAAUAAUAAUAAAUAAGUUCUGCUCAAUGAUUAUUUAAAUAGCUGCAGUAAUUUAACUGUACUAAGGUAGCAUAAUCAAUUGUUUUUUAAAUGGAAACUAGAAUGAAUGAAUUGAUGAAAUAUAUACUUUAUUUGAAUUAUUUAUUGAAUUUAAUAUUAUAGUUAAAAAGCUUUAAUUAUUUUAUAAGACGAGAAGACCCUAUAGAAUUUUAUAUAAUAAUUUUAUAAAAUUUUAAUAUAAAUAAUAAAAUUAUAUAUUUAUUUGGGAGGAAUAUUAAAAUUAAUAACUUUAAUUAAUUGAUUACAUAAAUUUAUGAUAUAAAUAGAUUUUAUUAAAAUAUAAGAUUAAAUUACCUUAGGGAUAACAGCGUAAUAUUUUUUUAUAGUUCAAAUUGAAAAAAGUGUUU